CGACCAAAAACUUUAACCUGAAUGGGACAGAUGAAACGGACGGACGGAUGAACGGACGCACAGACCAGAAAACAUAAUGCCCAUAAAUGGGGCAUAAAAAGUGAUUUUUGGAAAUUGCUGCGAGACAAUGGUUUAGUUUGAAAAAUCAAAACUGUGAUUAAAUACAUAUUUGAAAUAAUACACGUCUAUAACCUAUUUGAAAUAAUGCACAUAUACAGUUGCAAACUUUCCAGAGGUGCUAUCCAGCACUUUGAUUAUAUAUC
rnacentral:lncRNA from 1 species